rnacentral:misc_RNA from 1 species
AGAGUUAAACAGUACGUGAAAUUGUUGAAAGGGAAACGAUUGAAGUCAGUCGUACCCGAUGGGUAAUCAGCCUUUUUCGGGCGUGAUUUUGUGGUUAUGAAGAGACUUUAUGAUCGCUAUCUUCGCGUCUCUGGGGUGUAUUUGCCCGUGUGGUAGGUUAACAUCAAUUUCGGACGUCAUAAAAUGACGGGAGGAAUGUAGCUUCUUUUUUGAAGUGUUAUAGCCUCUGGUAGAUGUGAUGACCGGGAUUGAGGAUUGCAACGGAUGCCCUUUGGGCUACUCGCCUGAUCUCUGAUCGUCGCUCUGGUGCUGAAAGCGUGCUUACGGUAUCAAAGUUUGAAGGUCAAAAGGUUAGAACGGGAUAAAUCCGUUAAGGAUGUUGACGUAAUGACUUUAAACGA